rnacentral:rRNA from 1 species
CCUGCAUGAAGUCGGAAUUGCUAGUAAUCGUAGGUCAGCAUACUACGGUGAAUACGUUCCCGGGCCUUGUACACACCGCCCGUCAAACCAUGAGAGUUGGCAACACCCGAAGUCGGUAGUCUAACCGCAAGGAGGACGCCGCCGAAGGUGGGGUUGAUGAUUAGGGUUAAGUCGUAACAAGGUACC